CGUCCCGAUACAGGAAAUAGUUGCUGCUGCAGAAACUAGUGAAGGAAACUCACCUGUCCAGCGGCUGAAAGAAGAACUGGACUAAAAAUACAGCGGAGAGGAGGAAGAAUGGAGGAGUGAAGGAGGAGGUUUUAUUUCCAUUUAUAUUGAAUUAGAAUCUGUUUGUGUUCAUUUUUCAUCUCUUUCUGGACGUUUUCUGUCUCUUAGUGCUUGUUUUGAGUCAUUUUGUGUCUGUUUUUUAAAAAAUAUCUGAUUAGCGUGCUGUCAGUCCAGUUUGUUUGUAGUUUGUGAAGUUUUUACAUUCAUUUUUUGUGUCUCUUUGUUGUUGUUUUGUAUCUGCGUUCAAUUUAAUCUGUUUUUACUCAUUUGUGUGUCUUUGCAGCCAUGUCGCUUUAAUCUGUGUUCAUUUUGCGGCUGUCAUUUAUUGGUUUGUGGUUGUUUUGUUGUCCUUCAGUGCGUCUAACAGGUGGUUUUAAACAGAAUUAGCAUCUCUUUAUGCUCAUUUUACACCCCUUUGUAAUCUCUUCUUGCUAUUUUUGUGGCUCUUCGGGUUUGUUUUUAGUAAUUCUGCUAUCGUUUUGUCAGUUUAACCCUGGAAGGUUGUUGACGUUGUUGGUUCUGGAGUCUUUGUGUGAUUAUUUGGUUUGUCUCUGGUGGGAAAACCCGCCUGCUUCCAGUCUUUUUGCUACGCUAUGCUAAGCUAGGCUAACAUGUUUGUAAUGAGUGCAUUCUCUGUGAGGUCUGCAGUUUCCUCUCAGCAGAUUUUAAAUGAAGCUGGGUUUGAACUCUCUGACUCGGCCUCCCGCCGAGCGGCUGCAGCUCCGACCUCGGCGGCGACAUUCCUCAGCGUUAGCCUCCAUCUUUAUUGUCGUCUGGUGAUGUAAAGUGACGCUUCCAUCAGCGCUGACGAGCUUCUGGCUGAGUCUGAAUGAUGUCACAGAUUAGAGCAAAAAGACGUCGUUAGCUUGAACAGAAAACAACCCGAAGUCUCACUAAAGAUUCAUUCCACCUUAAAUCGACCGUCUCUGAUUGGACUUAAAAUUCAAAGCAUAAAAUAUGAACAUUUAUAGAGAUGUUUGAGAAAUUUUAGUGUCAAGUAUUUUCGGAGAUAUUUUUUUCCAAAAAUCACCAACACGUCAUGAUGCUGCCACCACUGUGCUUCACAUCAUGAUGAUGCCACCACCGUGCUUCACAUCAUGAUGCUGCCACCACCGUGCUUCACAUCAUGAUGCUGCCACCACCGUGCUUCACAUCAUGAUGCUGCCACCACCGUGCUUCACAUCAUGAUGCUGCCACCACCGUGCUUCACAUCAUGAUGCUACCACCAC
ensembl:lncRNA